rnacentral:rRNA from 1 species
UACGGAGGGAGCUAGCGUUGUUCGGAAAUACUGGGCGUAAAGCGCACGUAGGCGGCGCAGCAAGUCAGGGGUGAAAUCCCGGGGCCCAACCCCGGAACUGCCCUUGAAACUGCAGUGCUAGAAUCUUGGAGAGGCGAGUGGAAUUCCGAGUGUAGAGGUGAAAUUCGUAGAUAUUCGGAAGAACACCAGUGGCGAAGGCGACUCGCUGGACAAGUAUUGACGCUGAGGUGCGAAAGCGUGGGGAGCAAACAGG